UGAGUCGCUGAUUUGAGUCUUUAAAACGUACCGCGAGCGCGGGAGUCCUCCAUUUCUGUCUUUCAGCAGCAGUGGCAGCUGCAACUCAAAGGGCGGGAGCUUGCCGGGAGCAAUUUCAGCUCUUUUCAGAGGAAGCAUGAACUAGAUUACAAGACAGUGCGAAGAGUUUCUACUUCAUUGCAGUGAGAGUCCAGGAAAGAAGACGAUGAUGGACAGCAUGUGUGGAGGUUUGGAAGAACAAGAAAAAGCACACUAUGUAGUUACAUCUGUAAAGAAACAGGAGGACGACUGAAGAUGAAAUUGGCCAUGAGUUUGGAAAGUGCCGUCUGAGGAUUUUUGGAGAAUUUCUGCAGUGCAUCUUGUGGAUAGUACACAUUGCUACUAAUAAGCGUCAGUAGUGGAGGGAGUGAAUGCAGUGCCAAUUAAGCAGGCUGCUUCAUCCUAGACGGAGUCAAGCUUCUUGAGUGUUGUUGGAGAUACACCCAUCCAGGAUGAGGGAGUCACCAGCUGGUUCAGCAUUAAUUGCCCAUCCCUAUUUGCCAGAGGAGAAGUUAAAAGUCAACCACAUUGCUAUGGGUCUGGAGUCACAUGUAGAUCAGACCAGAUGGCGGUGCCAGCACAGUAGAGUUUGGAUUCCCGAGCCCAUCCACUCUCUCUCCUCUUCGUAUUUUGACCUUUUCUUUUCUUGAGACU